CAAAUAGAUUGUGGAAUCUGAGAUCCCGUUCAGUAUAAUUCCAAUUCCUUUAUGGCCCUUUUUAUAUCCUUUAGCAAUACAGACUAGUACAGAACCAUCACCAAAAGGUUUUGUACUGGUUUGGAACAUAGAGAAAGAUGGAAGUGUUUGAUGAAAUUGGGCAGAGAAAUCCUGACUGAGGAAGUUGGAGGACUACCAGGCUCUUUGGCAAAAGGACAAUAUGAGUUUUAGAUCCAUGGGUUCUGAGGAUUACAACAUGGGAAGCAUGUUUCAAACUGACUAUUACAGAGUCAAGAGUGUCUUUGGAAAAUACAUCACACAUUCACCUGCUCAGAAUGAAAACAACCCAUACAUUCCACAGUGAAGAAAGAAUGUCAAGAGAAGCAUCGUCAGAGCUUUUGGAUAUUUCUUACCAUAUGAGGAGUUAAGUAGAGUCGAGUGAAUGUGGAAGCCUUCAUGAAAUUCAUGUAUUUUGUUAAUAUAAUUGAAAUUGUUUUAUGAUUUGGGAACUUACUGAUAAAGCUUUGUAAAACUACAGAUAAUAAACUAUAUUUAGUUACAUAUUGAAUAAGUCA
rnacentral:lncRNA from 1 species